UGGGAGGAUCUGUUCUGACAAAAAGUCCCAAUCAGGAAAUUUAGUUAUGAAGUUAUCAUAACAGUCAGGCACUACCCACUGGACUUUGGGUUUCCAUUGCGACAAUCAUUUCUCUGUGGUAUAUAAAUGAAGAAAUGCAGCCACUACCUCCACAAAACCACUUCAGACUGGACAGCGUGAAUUUAAACACACUGACAGGCCAAAACUGGAAAUGAUGAAGAUUUUUCUGCAUUGGUGGUGUGUACAGGUUGCCAAGCCAACCUAUUCUUU
rnacentral:lncRNA from 1 species